rnacentral:rRNA from 1 species
UACGUAGGGGGCAAGCGUUGUCCGGAAUUAUUGGGCGUAAAGAGCGUGUAGGCGGCUUUACAGGUCCGUUGUGAAAACUCGAGGCUCAACCUCGAGACGCCGGUGGAAACCGUAAGGCUAGAGUCCGGAAGAGGAGAGUGGAAUUCCUGGUGUAGCGGUGAAAUGCGCAGAUAUCAGGAGGAACACCCGUGGCGAAAGCGGCUCUCUGGGACGGUACUGACGCUGAGACGCGAAAGCGUGGGGAGCAAACAGG